GGUGCUCUUCCAAUCUGGCUCACUUCCUUGUUAGGGGCUAAUGCAGCUGUUGACUUUAAGUUGAAGCUAAUACUCAUUGAUCAUUCUGAAAAUCCUGGGGCCCUUAAGAAUCAUGCCAAAUCUACUCUGCUGUGCUUUAUAAAUGGAACAACAAAGCCUGGUUGAAGCACAGCUGUUUACAACAUGGUUUACUGAAU